GAUGAACGCUGGCGGCGUGCCUAAUACAUGCAAGUCGAGCGAACAGAUGAGGAUCUUGCUCGUCUGACGUUUGCGGCGGACGGGUGAGUAACACGUGGAUAACCCACCUAUCAGACUGGGAUAACUUCGGGACACCGGAUCUAAUACCGGAUAAUAUAUUGAAGCGCAUGGUUCAAUAGUGAAAUACGGUUUUGCUGUCACGUAUAGAUGCAUCUGCGCUGCAUUAGCUAGUUGUUAAGUUAACGGCUUACCAAGGCAACGAUGCGUAGCCGACCGGAGAGGCUGAUAGGCCACCUUGGAACUGAGACGCGGACAAGACGCCUACGGGAGGCCGCAGAAGGCAAUCUUCCGCAGUGGGCGAAAACCUGGCGGAGCAGCGCGAAGUGAGUGAUGGAGAUCUUCGGAUCGUAAAACUCUGUUAUUAGGGAAGAACAAAUGUGUAAGUAACUAUGCACGUAUUGACGGUACCUAAUCAGAAAGCCACGGCUAACUACGUG
rnacentral:rRNA from 1 species